GACGAACGCUGGCGGCGUGCUUAACACAUGCAAGUCGAACGGAAAGGCCCUGCUUGCAGGGUGCUCGAGUGGCGAACGGGUGAGUAACACGUGGGUGAUCUGCCCUGCACUUCGGGAUAAGCCUGGGAAACUGGGUCUAAUACCGGAUAGGAGCCAUUUUUAGUGUGAUGGUUGGAAAGUUUUUUCGGUGUGGGAUGAGCGCGCGGCCUGUCGGCUUGUUGGUGGGGUAAUGGCCUACCAAGGCGGCGACGGGUAGCCGGCCUGAGAGGGUGGACGGCCACAUUGGGACUGAGAUACGGCCCAGACACCUGCGGGAGGCAGCAGUGGGGAAUAUUGAACAAUGGGCGCAAGCCUGAUGCAGCGACGCCGCGUGGGGGAUGACGGCCUUCCGGUUGUAAACUCCUUUCGCUAGGGACGAAGCUUUUUGUGACGGUACCUAGAUAAGAAGCACCGGCUAACUACGUG
rnacentral:rRNA from 1 species